UGAGAUGUAAGUCUCAUGGAUGUGGCGAAAGCUGAACAAAAGA
rnacentral:ncRNA from 1 species